rnacentral:rRNA from 1 species
UACGUAGGGGGCGAGCGUUGUCCGGAUUUAUUGGGCGUAAAGAGCUCGUAGGCGGUUCGGUAAGUCGGAUGUGAAAUCUCCACGCUCAACGUGGAGGGGCCAUUCGAUACUGCCGUGACUCGAGUCCGGUAGGGGAGUGUGGAAUUCCCGGUGUAGCGGUGAAAUGCGCAGAGAUCGGGAGGAACACCCGUAGCGAAGGCGGCACUCUGGGCCGGUACUGACACUCAUGAGCGAAAGCGUGGGGAGCGAUCCGG